rnacentral:rRNA from 1 species
UGAUCAUGGCUCAGGACGAACGCUGGCGGCGUGCUUAACACAUGCAAGUCGAGCGGUAAGGCCUUUCGGGGUACACGAGCGGCGAACGGGUGAGUAACACGUGGGUGAUCUGCCCUGCACUUCGGGAUAAGCCUGGGAAACUGGGUCUAAUACCGGAUAUGACUUCAGGUUGCAUGACUUGGGGUGGAAAGAUUUAUCGGUGCAGGAUGGGCCCGCGGCCUAUCAGCUUGUUGGUGGGGUAAUGGCCUACCAAGGCGACGACGGGUAGCCGACCUGAGAGGGUGACCGGCCACACUGGGACUGAGACACGGCCCAGACUCCUACGGGAGGCAGCAGUGGGGAAUAUUGCACAAUGGGCGAAAGCCUGAUGCAGCGACGCCGCGUGAGGGAUGACGGCCUUCGGGUUGUAAACCUCUUUCAGCAGGGACGAAGCGCAAGUGACGGUACCUGCAGAGGAAGCACCGGCUAACUACGUGCCAGCAGCCGCGGUAAUACGUAGGGUGCAAGCGUUGUCCGGAAUUACUGGGCGUAAAGAGUUCGUAGGCGGUUUGUCGCGUCGUUUGUGAAAACCAGCAGCUCAACUGCUGGCUUGCAGGCGAUACGGGCAGGCUUGAGUACUGCAGGGGAGACCGGAAUUCCUGGUGUAGCGGUGAAAUGCGCAGAUAUCAGGAGGAACACCGGUGGCGAAGGCGGGUCUCUGGGCAGUAACUGACGCUGAGGAACGAAAGCGUGGGUAGCGAACAGGAUUAGAUACCCUGGUAGUCCACGCCGUAAACGGUGGGCGCUAGGUGUGGGUUCCUUCCACGGAAUCCGUGCCGUAGCUAACGCAUUAAGCGCCCCGCCUGGGGAGU